rnacentral:rRNA from 1 species
GAUGAACGCUGGCGGCGUGCCUAAUACAUGCAAGUCGAGCGAACGGACGAGAAGCUUGCUUCUCUGAUGUUAGCGGCGGACGGGUGAGUAACACGUGGAUAACCUACCUAUAAGACUGGGAUAACUUCGGGAAACCGGAGCUAAUACCGGAUAAUAUUUUGAACCGCAUGGUUCAAAAGUAAAAGACGGUCUUGCUGUCACUUAUAGAUUGAUCCGCGCUGCAUUAGCUAGUUGGUAAGGUAACGGCUUACCAAGGCAACGAUGCAUAGCCGACCUGAGAGGGUGAUCGGCCACACGGGAACUGAGACACGGUCCAGACUCCUACGGGAGGCAGCAGUAGGGAAUCUUCCGCAAUGGGCGAAAGCCUGACGGAGCAACGCCGCGUGAGUGAUGAAGGUCUUCGGAUCGUAAAACUCUGUUAGUAGGGAAGAACAUAUGUGUAAGUAACUGUGCACAUCUUGACGGUACCUAAUCAGAAAGCCACGGCUAACUACGUG